UACGAAGGGGGCUAGCGUUGUUCGGAAUUACUGGGCGUAAAGCGCGCGCAGGCGGCUAUCCAAGUCAGUGGUGAAAGCCCGGAGCUCAACUCCGGAACUGCCAUUGAAACUGUUUAGCUUGAGUAUGAGAGAGGUGAGUGGAAUUCCCAGUGUAGAGGUGAAAUUCGUAGAUAUUGGGAAGAACACCGGUGGCGAAGGCGGCUCACUGGCUCAUUACUGACGCUCAGGCGCGACAGCGUGGGGAGCAAACAGG
rnacentral:rRNA from 1 species